rnacentral:rRNA from 1 species
AUUGAACGCUGGCGGCAGGCCUAACACAUGCAAGUCGAGCGAGCGGCGGACGGGUGAGUAAUGUCUGGGAAACUGCCUGAUGGAGGGGGAUACCUACUGGAAACGGUAGCUAAUACCGCAUACCAUCAGAUGUGCCCAGAUGGGAUUAGCUAGAAGGUGGGGUAACGGCUCACCUAGGCGACGAUCCCUAGCUGGUCUGAGAGGAUGACCAGCCACACUGGAACUGAGACACGGUCCAGACGCCUACGGGAGGCAGCAGUGGGGAAUAUUGCACAGUGGGCGCAAGCCUGAUGCAGCCAGGACGCGUGUGUGAAGAAGGCCUUCGGGUUGUAAAGCACUUUCAGCGGGGAGGCGUUACCCGAAGAAGAAGCACCGGCUAACUCCGUGCAAGCAGACGCGGUAGUUC